UUGGGUCUAAACAUCCGUAGCUUGCCUUGUAAGUCUUUUGUGAAAUCGGGACUCUUAAGGUUCCGUCGGGCAAAGGAUACUGCUUGGCUAGAGACCGGGAGAUGUAAGGAGUACAAAUGGAGUAGCGGUUAAAUGCGUUGAUCCUAUUUGGACUAACAACAGCGAAGGCACCUUACAAGAACGGAUCUGACAGUGAGGGAUGAAGGCUAGGGGCGCAAAUUGGAUUAGAUACCCAAGUAGUCCUAGCAGUAAACCCUGCACACUGAACAUCGGGGCCUCUUCGAGAGGUCUCGGUGCUGUAGAGAAGUCGGAGAGUGUGCUACCUGGGAAGUAUAGUCGCAAGGCCGAAACUUAAAGGAAUUGGCGGGGGAGCAC
rnacentral:rRNA from 1 species